CUGGAGACUAAGGGAAUAGAGGACAUGAAGUUGAGCUGACUCUGCUUUUAGCCCCCCAAAUGAAAUGUUAGAUAGAACAGAUCUUGUUUGCAAAAUAAAUUCAAGACCUACUUAUCUACCAACAGCA
rnacentral:snoRNA from 1 species